UCCGUAGGGGUACCUGCGGAGGGAUCAUUACACAAAUAUGAAGGCGGGCUGGAACCUCUCGUGGGUUACAGCCUUGCUGAAUUAUUCACCCUUGUCUUUUGCGUACUUCUUGUUUCCUUGGUGGGUUCGCCCACCACUAGGACAAACAUAAACCUUUUGUAAUUGCAAUCAGCGUCAGUAACAAAUUAAUAAUUACAACUUUCAACAACGGAUCUCUUGGUUCUGGCAUCGAUGAAGAACGCAGCGAAAUGCGAUAAGUAGUGUGAAUUGCAGAAUUCAGUGAAUCAUCGAAUCUUUGAACGCACAUUGCGCCCUUUGGUAUUCCAAAGGGCAUGCCUGUUCGAGCGUCAUUUGUACCCUCAAGCUUUGCUUGGUGUUGGGCGUCUUGUCUCUAGCUUUGCUGGAGACUCGCCUUAAAGUAAUUGGCAGCCGGCCUACUGGUUUCGGAGCGCAGCACAAGUCGCACUCUCUAUCAGCAAAGGUCUAGCAUCCAUUAAGCCUUUUUUUCAACUUUGACCUCGGAUCAGGUAGGGAUACCCGCUGAACUUAAGCAUAUCAAUAAGUCGGAGGA
rnacentral:rRNA from 1 species